GAUGAACGCUGGCGGCGUGCUUAACACAUGCAAGUCGAACGAAGCACUUUAUUCGAUUUUCUUCGGAGAUGAAGAUUUAGUGACUGAGUGGCGGACGGGUGAGUAACGCGUGGAUAACCUGCCUCACACUGGGGGAUAACAGUUAGAAAUGACUGCUAAUACCGCAUAAGCGCACAGUACCGCAUGGUAUGGUGUGAAAAACUCCGGUGGUGUGAGAUGGAUCUGCGUUUGAUUAGCCAGUUGGCGGGGUAACGGCCCACCAAAGCGACGAUCAAUAGCCCACCUGAGAGGGUGAGCGGCCACAUUGGGACUGAGAAACGGCCCAAACUCCUACGGGAGGCAGCAGUGGGGAAUAUUGCGCAAUGGGGGAAACCCUGACGCAGCGACGCCGCGUGAGCGAUGAAGUAUUUCGGUAUGUAAAGCUCUAUCAGCAGGGAAGAAUAAAUGACGGUACCUGACUAAGAAGCCCCGGCUAACUACGUGCCAGCAGCCGCCGCUG
rnacentral:rRNA from 1 species